rnacentral:lncRNA from 1 species
CAAAAUUUAGCUAUAAAAAGGGGAAGAAAGCAGAAUAAAAACAAGAUCGAAGAGAAGAAAAACACUCUGAAGAAAACCCAUCCAACCAACCUUUUCAUCAUCAACCCCCUUUCCAAAAUACUUUGUAAAAUAUUUCCUUAACUUUUGUAGUUCCUCCUCUAAGAUUGUAAAAUAAAUAAGGCCUUAUGCUUAUGUGUGAUCGUUUUUAAUUCCCAAAGCUCAGUAGACUUUUUCGGGUUUCCCGAAAGGGAAAUCUCUCUCCUAUAAGCAUGUAAGUUACUCAUCUUUUAUCUAAAUUAUGUUCCUGCUAGAUAUUACCCCUGUUUUUUUUUGUUAUUCUGUAUAGUUUUAUGUUUCAUGUUUAUAUGAUCGAUUAUUAGAUAUCACUCUUAGUAUAUGGUUAGCUUCCCAAUUUCUUAACAAUUAUGAUGGAUUAACCUGUAAAUUCCUAGGAGAAACUGGUUAAGUAAAACCCGAAAACAAUUAAAAAGGGUAUAAGUUUUUAACCAUGGCCGGGGUGAGGUUAAAAAAAUAAGAGUUAAGAAAAGUGUUAAAACCUUUAAAAGAUUGGGAAGAAGAGAUAAACAUAGUGGAUUAAAAAAAAGAGUAGUAAAGGGGUAAUCUCAGUUCAUAAUUUAGAUAAUAUGGUAACUAUACAAGUCUAUAGAAUAAAAGAGAGAGAGUACCGAGUAGGAUUUUCACAACAUAAGAGUUUAAUCGCAAAAAAUAAUUUUAUUGUUAAUGUCCAACAAUCGUAAUAGCUACACAAAUCCAGAAAGUUUUGCUAGGAGCCUUACUCAAAGUUUUGAAGAAUUUAUAAUAGACAUAGAAAUCGAAUUUUAUUUGAUAGUAGAUUUGGCAGUACAUUUUAUAUAUCUAGAAUACAAUAGUAGUAUCUGUUCAGAUAGAAAUGCCAGAUAAAUUAGAUAGUACCAAAGAGCUACAAAAGUUUUUGGGAAUAGUAAAUUAUGCGAGAAACUUUAUUAAAGACUUAGGAAAAAUAGCAGGACCAUUAUAUGCUAAGACAGGAGCUACAGGACAAAAAUAUUUUAAUGCAGAAGACAUUAAAUUAGUACAAAAAAUUAAAGAAAAAAUAAAAAAUAUUCAUGAUUUAAAUAUGCCACUAGAAACAGACUAGUAGUAUAGUAGUUAAAGUCAUAGUUAAAAUGUGACGACCCAAAAGGUCAUCACCUGUUUUCUUAUCCAUUCCGAGCUUUCGAGGCCUUGAAAACCUCAUUUACAGUUGCCUCGAUUUACGUGCACAGUCUGGGCACGUAGCCGGAAGCUCAAAUAUGAAAUUCUGUGAAAAUUUUCGAUGUUUUGAUAUUAAAAUGAAUAAAUUUGACUUCGGUCAAUAUUUUGGGUAAACGGACCCGGACCAGUGAUUUGACAGUCCGAGAGGUCUGUAGGAAAAUAUUGGACUUGGGCGUAUGCCCGGAAUCGAAUUCUGAGGUCCCAGGCCCGAGAAAUGAAUUUUUGAGUAAAAUUGUUUUCUGAAAAUAUUUAAGGAAAAUGGAAAUGAAAUUUGAUUAGAAAGUAAUGGUAUCGAGCCCGUAUUUUGGUUCUGGCGCCCGGUACAGGUCUUAUACAUGGUUUAAUACUUUAUGUAAAGUUUGGUUGAAAACAGACGUCGUUUGACGUGUUUCGGACUCAAAAUGGAAAAUUUGAUGUUUUAUGAAAUUUGUAAGAAUUCUUGGAUUUUAAAGCUUAACUCGUGGUAUAUGAUGUUAUUUUGGCGAUUUGAUCACACGGUUAAGUUCGUAGGAUGUUGUUGAGUUAGUGUAUGUGUUUGGUUAGGAGCCCCGAGGGCUCGGGAGUGUUUCAGAGGUGUCUCGGAGUGAUUUCGGACUUAGGAAAAUUGUAGAAAAUUGCAGAAAUAGUACCCGUGAACAGUACCCAUGAAUAGUACCCCCAAAUAGUACCCCCGUGAACAGUAGCCAUGAACAGUACCCCGUGAACAGUAAAAACGCGUGAACAGUAAAACGCGUGAACAGUAACCCCGAAAACAUUCUGGGCAGAAUGUAACUUCUCCAUUUUUAGCAAAUUGGUGCUCGGGGAGAGGCGAUUUUCGGGAUAUUUUCAGAGGAAACAAUGGGGUAAUUGUUCUUAACUUAAUUUUGGUUAGAUUACCCCAAUCUAUUACUAGUUUUGGCAUUUAAUUGGUGAUUUUAGUUGGGAAAAUCUUGAAAACCCUCUUGGUUUAAUUUGAAGAUUUGAGGGUCGAGUUGAUGUCGGAUUUUGGUAAAAUUGGUAUGGUUGGACUCGUGGUUGGAUGAGGUUUCAUAUUCCAUAAUUUUUGUCGGGUUCCGAGACGUGGGACCCACAGGCGAAUUUUUAGUGUAAUUUCGGAUUUUAAAUGGAAAAUGUAGAAUUUCAUAUGGAAUUAAUUCCUAUAAUUUUUAUUGACUUAAUCGAAUUGUUUAUGACUAUAUUUGAGAAUUUCGGGUACGAAUUCGCGAGGCAAAGGCUUGUUGGAAUUUUGAAUUGGUUGCAAAGCGAGAUAAGUGUUUGGUUUAACCUUAGCUUGAGGGAAUAAGAGCUGAGUCUUAAUUGCUACUUGCUAUUUGUCGAUUACGACGUAUAGGCAUGGUGACGAGUAUCUAUACGUUGGUGUCUAACAUGACCAAAAGUACUUAUAUCGCGAAUGAUCGAAUUUGGUUAUAUCUUCCAUGAUUAAAUGAUGACUUCUAUAUGUUGUGAAGUGCAUGUGAAAGAAAUGGUGAUAUUUAAUAUUUAAGGAGCGUUGGCUCAAGUUAUAAAAUGAAUUACUAAGUAAGCAAUGAAAGAAAGAGAAAGAAUUAUUGAAUUAUUCCCUUGCCAAGAUAAUUGUGGAAUUGUUGAUAGAUUCCUUGCCGGGAAUUUUACUGUUAAUUGUUGUGCCCUUAUUGGAAUCCCGAUUAUUAUCCAGUUUACUUUCUUGCCCCUUAUCUGUGAUUGUUAUUUGUGUGAGGAAGAGUGAUAAAGCACAAAGGGUGAUGUCGUGUAUUGUUUGAUAUGGUGAGGAAAUAGUGUAAAGCACGAAGGGUGAUGCCGUUCCGUACGAUGUGCCAUUCCGUACUGAUAUCUAUUGAUUAUAUUGUGAGGAAAGAGAGUAAAAGCACGAAUGGUGAUGCCGUGUACAAUUUUAUUUUAUAUAUUGAUUGGGUGAGGAAGAGAGUAAAAGCACGAAGGGUGAUGCCGUGCAAAUUGUUGAUUUCUUUUGAUACUUGUUGAUAUUAUGACUUUGUUGUCUCCUUCUUUUAUUGAAUAUUUCUAUUUGAAAUUGUUACCUCACCACAACAUGUUUCCCCUCCCACAUUGAUUGGUUGCUUCCAGUACUUCCUUUGUUAUCUAUAUAUAUACUUGAACUGCACAGGUUUAUUUGAUUGUCUGGUCCUAGCCUCGUCACUACUUCGCCGGGGUUAGGCUAGGCACUUAAUAACACAUGGGGUCGGUUGUGCUGAUACUACACUCUGUGCUCUUUUGCACAGAUACAGGUUUCGGACAGCAACAACAGUAGUGCGGGUGUGAGCAGUUAGACUAGUGAGACACCGAGGUAGCCUUGCAGGCGUUUGCAGGCCCGACGUCUCCUCUAUCUAUUAUUUUAGUCUGUUAUCUCAUUGUAUUCGAGACAAACAGUUUAUUAUUUUCUUUCAGACGAUUGUAUUCAAUAUUCUUAGAAGUUCGUGAGUAAUGUGACACCAGUUCUUGGGUAGAGAUUUAUGUUGGAUUCCGCAUUUACAUUCAAUCACUUUAAAUUAAGUCUUCCG